CCGUGCAAGUGACUAUGUUCAACGGCCGCGGGAUCCUAACAGUGCAAAGGUAGCAUAAUAACUUGCCCAUUAAUUGUGGGCUAGAAUGAAAGGACUAACGAAAUAUAAGCUGUCUCUAUAAGUAAUAAAUAAAUUAAUCUCUAACUGAAGAGUGUUAGAUAAAAUCGAAGGACAAGAAGACCCUAUAGAGCUUUAUCUAAACAAAGAAACAAACUUUGUCAAAGAUUCGGUUGGGGCGACCAGGGAUAUUUAUAAUCACCCCUAAAUACAAGACUAAUUAAUCACAUAAAUGACCCUUUAUAAAGAUCACCAGAACAAGCUACCUUAGGGAUAACAGGCUAAUCCCGCUUGAGAGUCCUUAUUUAUAGCGGGGGUUGGCACCUCGAUGUUGGCUUAGAGUAUCUAUGAGGCGCAAAAGUUUCAUAAUGAUGGUUUGUUCAACCAAUAAUACUCUACAUGAGCUGAGUUCAGACCGGCGUAAGCCAGGUUAGUUUCUAUCCUCGAUAAUAUAAGUCUAUCUGCAGUACGAAAGGACCUAGAUACGAAUAAUAAUUAUAUAACAAGAAUAAAUAUAAAAUAAUUAAAUAACCAUUUCUAUAUACUA
rnacentral:rRNA from 1 species